rnacentral:tRNA from 1 species
GGGCGGCUGGCCUAAUGGUAAGGCGUCUGAUUUCGGUUGAGUUAUCCUCGAUAACUACAUUCUCAGAAGAUUGCAGGUUCGAUCCCUGCGUCGCUCA